CUCCCUUUGGGAUUUGCUAACAAGCCCAGGAUAAGGUAAGCAAAUUGCCUGGCAGUGUCAGUCAUGGACCAAGAUAUUUCCUGCCAAGGUCUGUAAGAACUGAGUGAAAUGAAGUAUGCAGGAUGGAUAUUGUGUGAUAUAUUCCACUGUUGAUUUCCAGUGCAAGCAGUUACAUUUGCUGAUAACAAAAUGCAUUUAUCUUCAGUGGCAUUUUAGAUUGCUCCACAACCUGCUGCGUAUUCUAAUGAAACCUGUAUCACUACCAAUUAGACACCUGCAGAAGAAGUGGCUAUGCAAAUACCUUGCCCCCCAAAUGCUAUUUUCCUUCUCUCAUUAAGCUUUCAAACUAAACUGUAUCACAGUUAAUGGCUGAAAACUUUCCCCUCAAAUUUCAGUGUUGCAUGGAAUUUAGCCAAACAUCUCCCACUGGUUUUAAUUGGAGCUGUGUAACUGCAAGUCUCUGAAAAUGGAUUUUCCUCAUUUCUCCUAUGCUUAACCUAACCCUGCACCUGACCGUGUUCUUUUUCUUGCAGACAUGCACAGAAAUAACUCUCUUCUCUCUUCUGGCCCCCCAUCCUCCCACUGUCCAAUGCCUUGACGAAGUAUUGUGGUGGGCUUGGCAAACUGCAGGUUAUUGUUAUGCUUUUCAUCACUGGAGGUCCUUGAGUUCAAAUAUGAGUAGAUGUAUGUUUAGCCAGUGAAUGUUUGUUUACAGCAAGCAUGACUUAACAAGGUAGAGAAUGAAUAACAGAUAUCUCACUUAAGAGUUUAUAUUUCCAUCGAGGUGUUCCAGUGAUACUAUAAACCAUGAGAGAAAAGCAAAGAUGAUUUAUAAGCUUGCCAAAAGUCCCAAGAUAGAACUAUAUCUUCAUAAUUCACACUCGCCAGUUUGUUUCAUGUGAAUCUCAGGACCUGUUUUAAGCUCUGCCUGGGAUACAUUUCCCAUCUUGCUCUCACAACUGUUGCAUUAACCUUUUAUCUGCUCCUGGCUCCUGCUGUUUCUGCCCCAUAUUCCAAUUUGUCUGGCUACUGCUCUAGUUGCUUUCAUCUCCUUCUCCAGGGUGCUCUCUGCUGAAUGCCUUGGCAGGAGCUGUAAGCAUUACCCCAUAUCUUUUAAUUACACAUGCAAGCAUAUUUCUGAAAGCAAGCUGUGUGUUCGUAAGUCAAAAUUGGAUUCUGAGAUUCCUAAACAGUUUGUGCUUACAAGUGAGGAUAAAAACAUGAUCAUCUCUGUGAAUGUGGACAGCACAGAUUUAGUAGUAGGCUUUAGAUUCUUGUGCGCUUUUGGCCAUAUAGUUUUAAGCAAAUUUUGAAGAAAAAUUUCUCAAGAACAGGUAAACAGAAAUUUAAAGCUGAUUUAUGAAGUUAGUAGAAGGGAAGCUAUCAAUUAUUUUGCUGCACUUUGGGCUGAUGUCACUUAAACAAGAUCCUUUUUACAUGUCAGUAGAUUUAAUGUGCCAUAGAAAAGCCAUUAGUGA